UACAUGGGGUGCAAACGUUGCUCGGAAUUAUUGGGCGUAAAGCGCACGUAGGCGGUUCGUUAAGUCGGAUGUGAAGCCCUCGGCUCAACUGAGGAAGUGCACCCGAAACUGGCGAGCUUGAGUACGAAGAGGAUCGCGGAAUUCCGGUGUAGAGGUGAAAUUCGUAGAUAUCGGGAGGAACACCAGUGGCGAAGGCGGUGCUCUGGGCCGGAACUGACGCUGAGGAGCGAAAGCGUGGGGGAGCAAACAGG
rnacentral:rRNA from 1 species